UUGUCGUGUGUUUCACAGCUUCGCUCAGAGUCUGUUUGUUUUUGCCUUUUAUCUGUUUUUUACGUUUGUGGUUCUUGUUUUCAGUGUUUUGGUUGUUUGUGUUACACUUUAUACAAAAAUCUGCACCUGCAUCUGCUGCUUCUACAAACUUGUGACAGAUGGACACGUCCAGAACCAUGAUGCACUACGUCAUGAGGCAUAUCAUCACCGACUGCUUUCAGGAACACAUCACUGAGCAUUGCUCAUCACGGCGAGUUCUGAUUGGCUGAGAGCGAGACAGUGACGAUGAUCAGACCUCUCCAACCACAACCAAACCGCAUGAACCCAGACCUUUCCCAGCAUGACCAAGGCCCACGCCCAGAACUCUCCAAUCACAGCCAAAGCCCAUGCCCAGACUGCUCCAACCACGACUGAGGCCCAUGACCAGAUCUCUCCUGGAGAUGUGGAGUCUUGUUGUCUUAUGUCAUUACCUCAUGGCAUCGUUAUCACAUUAUCUCAAAAAUAAAAAAAAUUGAAGUAUAUUGUGUCUGGUAUAAGAAGUAAAAAAAAAAAUCCAGUCAGGACUGUCAGAGACAGCAAUGCCCUCAAUCUGUGCCUUAAAUAUGAUUGGCUGGUUUUAUAAAGGGGCGGGACUUAUGUAAAACACACCAUGUAAAGUAUUCUCUGUCUCUAAACUUCAUAUUGUUUCUGACAGUAGCUUAUUUAUAUUUUUCGUACUACUGAAAAGGCCACAUCCGAAAUUUACAGCAAGGACACACCCACAGGAGACAAUCAUGGAGUAACAUCAGCAAGUGCUGUGUAGCACCUGUCGUCACAACAUUAGGAAACAUCUCAAAUUUGAUCCAAACUGGAUGUUUCGGUCCGAUACAGUGGCUCAGUGUGAGAUCACUGCUUCCCUGCUCUUGAAUAAUAAGCAUCAACUUUUAGACGUUUUCACUUGACACUUUGUGCUUAUUAAGCUUUUUUUUUCCCUCCAUAUCCGACUCACAGGGAGAGCUAAUAAAGCAGAACGGCUGCUCUGAACUCCACUUUCUGUAAUUAAAGCUCUCCGACUCCGGCCGUGUGGGAUCUCUCUUUUAUGCCUACUCUCCGUUCAUUUCCCGGCAUCGGCUCAUUCUACUCCGGCAUAAUAAACCCCCCAAAAAAAUUUUAAAAAAUGCUCUUAUGCAACGAACCAGCAUGAGACAGAGAGGAUCUGGCAACCCUGAGCUCUGCUGCUCUGAGGUUAUUCUGUAAGCACUGAAUAAAAACAAGUACGAAUGAAUAAAAAAUGGCGUGGGAGUGGAAAGUGUGGAAUCUGUCUCGGUGAAUCAGACGCCGGUUUUAUUUACUGCGUCAAACGCCUUCAGGGUUUUUAUUCAGUCAGAUUAAAUCACUCACUCCCUCACAGUAACCUUAAAACAGACUAAAACAAGAAGAUAACUCCUGCACAACCUGCACAUACUCAGUGAAAAAUAUCCCCAGGUCAAAGAAGGGCGGGGCUUAAUUUAAAUGUGAUCUUAUGACAUCACAACUAGCCUUAUUAUUUUUAGCUAUUAUGUUUAGCUGGAUUUAAGUGUGGGAUUUGCUAUUUAAUAUAGUUAAUUAUUAUAGUGGAUAAUAGUUUAGCAAUAGCUGAGAUAGGUAGGUACGUAAACACAACACUAGCCUGUUAUCUCUAGCUAUCUGAAGUAGCUAGCCACAUUUACUAGCAAGAUUUAAAAAAAAUUAGGCUAGGUUUUACAUAGUGUAAAUGAAAACAGUAGCCAACCAGUUUAUGUGAUACUUCAU